AUUGAACGCUGGCGGCAGGCCUAACACAUGCAAGUCGAGCGGAGCGGCGGACGGGUGAGUAAUGCCUAGGAAUCUGCCUGGUAGUGGGGGAUAACGUUCGGAAACGGGCGCUAAUACCGCAUAAUAGCAGAUGAGCAUAGGUCGGAUUAGCUAGGUGGUGGGGUAAAGGCCUACCAUGGCGACGAUGCGUAACUGGUCUGAGAGGAUGAUCAGUCACACUGGAACGGAGCCACGGUCCAUACGCCUACGGGAGGCAGCAGUGGGGAAUAUUGGACAAUGGGCGAAAGCCUGCUCCAGCCAUGCCGCGUGUGUGAAGAAGGUCUUCGGAUUGUAAAGCACGUUAAGUUGGGAGGCGUUACCAACAGAAUAAGCACCGGCUAACUUCGUGCCAGCAGCCGCGGUAAUAC
rnacentral:rRNA from 1 species